GAGUUCUGUAUCGCACUCUAUUUGUUGGAGCGGCAUAGGGAAGGGCACAUUCUUCCUGCUAUGCUUCCUAGCAACAUCAUGUUUGAUUUUUCCAGCAACGGUCAUCCUGUGACUCCAGCUGCAUCUAACUAUGGCAAUGUAGCUUGGAGACCCGCAGCUGGUUACCAGCAGCACCAAGGGGUUCCUGGGUCUGGUAAUCUGCAGGGAGCUCCUACAGUUGGAGUACGUCCACCUAUACCUGCU
rnacentral:misc_RNA from 1 species